CGCAGGCUCCUAAACAGUUGAACAGACGCUGCGCUGCCGGCCUACGUCAGGGGAGACCAAGCAAACAGCGCUGCGGGAACCUUGGCUUCCCAACCCGCGGCCUUGUCCCUGCUGCACUCAGCGUGGGCCUCAGGGUGGGUGCUGGAGGCUGCGGAAAGUGGAGAUCGUGUCCUGCUGGAUCCUCCUGCAGGUAUUGUAAUUUUUCUGUCUGAGGAGUGUGGCCCUUCAAGAGCCAGAGUUCUGGCUUCAGACUACCUGGGUUCAAAUUCUGACUCAACGUCUUUUAGGUGUGUGUCCUGAGGAACCUUCACCUUGGACAUCAUUUCCUAUCUUCCAGCAGAGACUCUUCAGCUUCCAGAAAGGAUCCCCCAGCCUUCAGACAUAGACUCUUCAGCCUCCUCAAACACACUCACAUGGGACACUGCAGUGAGAUCCAGACCUUGGACUGGGUCCUUUGGUCUCCAGUGCUGAGACAGACCCUCUGCACUCUUCCUCAUCUGACUCUGUGGGUGGCCAU
rnacentral:lncRNA from 1 species